rnacentral:rRNA from 1 species
GAUGAACGCUGGCGGCGUGCCUAAUACAUGCAAGUCGAGCGAACAGACGAGGAGCUUGCUCCUCUGACGUUAGCGGCGGACGGGUGAGUAACACGUGGAUAACCUACCUAUAAGACUGGGAUAACUUCGGGAAACCGGAGCUAAUACCGGAUAAUAUAUUGAACCGCAUGGUUCAAUAGUGAAAGACGGUUUUGCUGUCACUUAUAGAUGGAUCCGCGCCGCAUUAGCUAGUUGGUAAGGUAACGGCUUACCAAGGCGACGAUGCGUAGCCGACCUGGGAGGGUGAUCGGCCACACUGGAACUGAGACACGGUCCAGACUCCUACGGGAGGCAGCAGUAGGGAAUCUUCCGCAAUGGGCGAAAGCCUGACGGAGCAACGCCGCGUGAGUGAUGAAGGUCUUCGGAUCGUAAAACUCUGUUAUUAGGGAAGAACAAACGUGUAAGUAACUAUGCACGUCUUGACGGUACCUAAUCAGAAAGCCACGGCUAACUACGUG